rnacentral:rRNA from 1 species
CACGUAGGAGGCGAGCGUUGUCCGGAAUCAUUGGGCGUAAAGAGCGCGCAGGCGGCUUGGCAAGUCGGGUGUGAAAUCCCGGGGCUCAACCCCGUGACUGCAUCCGAUACUGUCAGGCUAGAGGUAGGUAGGGGAGAUCGGAAUUCCUGGUGUAGCGGUGAAAUGCGCAGAUAUCAGGAGGAACACCGGUGGCGAAGGCGGGUCUCUGGGCCGAUAUUGACGCUGAGGAGCGAAAGCGUGGGGAGCGAACAGG